CGUGUAGGCGGCUUCUUAAGUCUGAUGUGAAAGCCCUGGGCUCAACCCGGGAAGUGCAUUGGAAACUGGGAAACUUGAAUACGGGAGAGGGUAGUGGAAUUCCUGGUGUAGGAGUGAAAUCCGUAGAUAUCAGGAGGAACACCGGUGGCGAAGGCGGCUACCUGGACCGAUAUUGACGCUGAGACGCGAAAGCGUGGGGAGCAAACAGGAUUAGAUACCCUGGUAGUCCACGCCGUAAACGAUGAGUACUAGGUGUUGCGGGUAUUGACCCCUGCAGUGCCGCAGCUAACGCAUUAAGUACUCCGCCUGGGAAGUACGGUCGCAAGACUAAA
rnacentral:rRNA from 1 species